rnacentral:rRNA from 1 species
CGUAGGGUGCAAGCGUUGUCCGGAAUUAUUGGGCGUAAAGAGCUCGUAGGCGGUUUGUCGCGUCGAAUGUGAAAAUCCGGGGCUCAACCCCGGACUUGCAGUGGGUACGGGCAGACUAGAGUGUGGUAGGGGAGACUGGAAUUCCUGGUGUAGCGGUGGAAUGCGCAGAUAUCAGGAGGAACACCGAUGGCGAAGGCAGGUCUCUGGGCCACUACUGACGCUGAGAAGCGAAAGCAUGGGGAGCGAACAGG